rnacentral:tRNA from 1 species
GGCGGACGUAGCCCAGUGGAUUAAGGCAAU